rnacentral:rRNA from 1 species
GACGGAGGGUGCUAGCGUUGUUCGGAAUCACUGGGCGUAAAGAGCGCGUAGGCGGCCGAGUAAGUCCGACGUGAAAUCUGGAGGCUUAACCUCCAGCGGUCGUUGGAAACUACUCGGCUAGAGUCCGGAAGAGGAGAGUGGAAUUCCUGGUGUAGCGGUGAAAUGCGCAGAUAUCAGGAAGAACACCGAUGGCGAAAGCAGCUCUCUGGGACGGUACUGACGCUGAGGCGCGAAAGCGUGGGGAGCGAACAGG